AUAUUUUUACCUGUUCUUCAGUGUUUUGUGCCACACAUUGCAAGUUUUGUUAGUUUUCUCAUUUUUUGCUUAAUCCAUAACUAAAAUUUCUUCUGAGUUUUUGUGAUAGUGGUGUUGUUUGUUGACUGUGUCAUGGCAUCUUCCUUCUUGUCCUUGUGUUUUUUUUUUCAACGAAAAAUUUGGAGCCAAGGCUGUUGAGUGGUG
rnacentral:misc_RNA from 1 species